AAGAAAAGAAAAACGGGUC
rnacentral:sRNA from 1 species